rnacentral:rRNA from 1 species
CCUACGGGUGGCAGCAGUGGGGGAUAUUGCACAAUGGGGGAAACCCUGAUGCAGCGACGCCGCGUGGGUGAAGAAGUAUUUCGGUAUGUAAAGCCCUAUCAGCAGGGAAGAAAGAAGACGGUACCUGACUAAGAAGCCCCGGCUAACUACGUGCCAGCAGCCGCGGUAAUACGUAGGGGGCGAGCGUUAUCCGGAUUCACUGGGUGUAAAGGGAGCGUAGACGGCCGUGCAAGCCAGGAGUGAAAGCCCGGGGCCCAACCCCGGGACUGCUCUUGGAACUGGGCGGAUGGAGUGCGGGAGGGGCAGGCGGAAUGCCUGGUGUAGCGGUGAAAUGCGUAGAUAUCAGGAGGAACACCGGCGGCGAAGGCGGCCUGCUGGACCGCGACUGACGUUGAGGCUCGAAAGCGUGGGGAGCGAACAGGAUUAGAUACCCGGGUAGUC